rnacentral:rRNA from 1 species
CCAAUAGCGUAUAUUAAAGUUGUUGCAGUUAAAAAGCUCGUAGUUGAAUUUCGGGAUCAAUAUGUCGGUCGUGCCUCCGGUACGUACUGGCGUCAUUGGUUUCUCCCUUCUGAUGAACCACGAUGUCAUUAAUUUGGUGUCAUGGGGAAUCAGGACUGUUACUUUGAAAAAAUUAGAGUGUUUAAAGCAGGCUCACGCUUGAAUACAUUAGCAUGGAAUAAUGAAAUAGGACGUUUGAUUCUAUUUUGUUGGUUUCUAGGAUCGACGUAAUGAUUAAUAGGGAUAGUUGGGGGCAUUAGU